GACUUUCUAUUUCCUUCUCCCUUUCCCUUUCCUUUUCUGAAGAACUCACGCUUUCCCUUUCCUUUCUCUGAUAUUGUGCUGAAGAUGGAGCUAUUUCCUUCAAGUCACGCUUUCCCUUUCCUUCCUCGAGCUGAAGAACUCACAAUUUCUUUUAUCCGAGCUGAAGAUCGAACUGAAGAUCGAGCUAAAGAUCGAGCUGCAAAACUCAUCGAGCUGACCGAGCUUUCUCUUCUCCGAGCUGAAGAUUUUGUCAAGAUUCUCCUGAGUAGCUAAGCUGAAACACAGAAGAAUUGAGUUGAAGAUUCUCCUCUCCAGAUUUUGAUUUGCUCGACGAAAUGAAGAGUUGAUGCUGAAGAACUGGGGAUCGAAGAAAUAAAAAUCGAAGAGCUGAAGGACGGAAGCUGAAGAACUGAUUUCAUCAAGGAAAUGGAGGUGAUCAAAUUUGAAGUGGAUGAUGAAGAGUUUUUGA